CUUCUGCACGCUGGGUUUUAUAUCGCCUGGAGUAUUAAGGGAUGAAGUCAUGCAGAAGGGCUGUUUUUAUUCCCCAUCGAAUUGGCAUCGCUGUGAGCGGUGACAUAAGCACAGGACAAUGCUGAUGGACUGCUGUGGAUAAAUGAUGUUCGUUCUGCACCUUGAGGGUGGGAUGCUGCCUUGCACAGAGGUCAUGUCUUCCUCCACAUCCAGCACCGAUGGGGCUGUAUGGAACACCACACCAAUGGACUGCUGUGCCAACAACAUGUUGGGUUGGAGGUAUGCAAUUGCCAUCUGGGUACAGUCCCUGUGGCCAAACCCAAUGGCGAUGUAGGACACAAGGGUGGCUGCCCAUCGCCGCUCCCUCCGGAAAGGAGCCAGACAGGAGAGAAAUCACUGCUGUCCAUGCCCCAAAAUCAAGAUGUGAAGUGGACAAGGCUCUGUUCUGCUGUUCCCUCUGCUGAGAUGUCAGAAGGACUCCCCAGGCAUCCAUCCACACUGAACACCUCCAUGAGACCUCUCUGCCCCAGGAAGCAGGAAGAUGCCUUUAUAUGUCCCCUUUUAGCAGCUGCUGCAAACUUCUUUUAUGCUAAAGCACGUGGAGCCGCGUUGAUUUAUUUAGCAGCGUCUCUGGAGGCUUCUUCAAGGUUAAGAUGUAGACAUCGCAUGUUAGGCUGGGCUGAAUGCUGGCAGGAAAAGACAUUUGGCUCUUCUAAUUGGAAAAACACGCCGCUUUUAUCACCCCGAGGCCAAGCCUCUACCACAGCCACACAGCACAGGGGAACACAGCGGCUCAGCCCUGGGUCCCCAGAAAGGAGCACCGUCCCCUCACUGCCCUCCAGGUCAGCCCCGGUGGUGCACCCAUCCCUGCUGAGUGCUCAGCACCGGUCACGGAGCUGUCAGCCACGCUGUGCCUCAGUUUCCCCACUGCUGCUGGCUGCCAUGGGCUGCGUGCUGAGUUUCGGCGCAGUGUGUCUAAGAAGCCCCUUCCCCAUCCAUCUCGGUGUUCCCACUGCACAACACGGAGCACACCCACUGAUGAAGGCACACAGCAUCCUCAUCUGGCCGGGCUGCCUCAGCCACGUCGGUACUCAGAGCUACAGAUACAGAGGAAAAAAAGCGAUUGCAAAGCAGAAAGGACCGUUUUGGGGGUACAUUUGGCAGUGAAAUCAGAGCUCGGGCUGGGAACCAGCAGGACAGCCUCCCUGCAGCCUCCCUGCGAUGCUCUCCAUGCACCGAACCCCGCACCACUCCUUCCUACACCAUCCCCCCGCUCACACCAAUGACUUUUAUUUUCGUACACGAAAAAGAAAACGCACAACGGAUUGGGAGCGUUAUUUUUCUGAACGCCACUUCGAAGAGUAAAAAUCUGAAAGCGUAAAUCCGGAGCAUCGUGGCAAAAUCCGGGCUCGGUUUAAAAACUAAAAGGGUUCUGCGAUUGUUUCUUUUCGUUUGUGAAAUAAUUCAACCCUCACCAAUAUUCCGGGCAGACGACCGCCGUUUAAUCUCAGCGGUCGCACAACGAACUGAGAUUCCGAGGGGGUGAGAGCGUUCGGCGCAACGUAACUAUCAAAUAUCCCCCGAAGACUUAAAGCAAACCACACGUGGCUGCUUCUCUCGCUGCCCCACUGCCCGCAGCCAUCGGUGCAGGACGGAGGACCGCAGCGCUUCGCAGUGCCAUUAAGCAUUCGUUAAAACAUUUACUCGAUGGGCCGUAACAAAGCGCCGGAGCCGCGGGCGCACGCAGAGACUCCAUCGGACGGUUCUGCGGUGCAAAACCGUCGCGUUCAGAGCCGCGCAGCCCUCAGUCCCCUCUCAUCGCACCUCUCUCGGGCAGAUGCUGGAGGUGGAAGGGCUGCAGCUUACCCCGCUUUCUGCCGUCGGUUCUGGGCGUUCCGAUUUCGGGUUCCCCUCUCGGCCCGGAGCGCAGUGCCCGGCCCGUGGCAUCAGAGCCUGAGGGAUGGAGGGGGAAAGCAACGUGAGCCAGAAGCUCGCAGCGAGGUCUGUAAGUCCUUGUAUGGCAGAAAUAAACGUAUUACACCGUUAUUAGAGAUUUGGCGCUGGCCCUGUCGAGAAGCCCGGCUUUGGUGCUCUGCGAUUCCUCCCGAGAACAGAACUCAGCGGUUGCUCUCCGUACUCGCCGCGUUUUCUCUGGCCAAAUCCUGCCACCUUUUCUCAG
ensembl:lncRNA